UACCUUAAAAUAGAAUAUCUUACAUUCGAAUUUUAGUUACAUUUUUCAAAAUAUAUAAAUUUUCUCAAAUAUUACAAAGUUAAUUGUGAAUAUUUAUUAUAAAUUUUAAAUUCAAACUACCGUAUAAUAAAUAUAAUGAAACACAUUUCGUCUUGUUAAGCGGAUCUUAUCUCUGUGAUUGUUACAGAUCAAAGGGAAAAAAUAAAAAAUAUAUUUCGAAUUAUGAGUGGAAUAUAAACUAUUUGAAUUGUUCUUAUAGAAUACGUUAACUUUUAUACGCCUUUCUCAAAUAACUUUUAUGUAAUUACUCACAUUAUUUAUAUAUAUAUCGUAAAUAAAAUGCAUAUAAAUGUGUACUUUUUUUUCUAUAACAUUUGAAGAUUUAUGGAAAUUUCCAAGAGGUGCGAAAGUUCAAUUCAAAUUCAUUACGUACCAUAUUCAAACUCAAGCUAAUAUGCUUCAUGAAGGUCUUUCGUGAAAAUGCUAUAGGAUUCAACUGUGGAGAUUUCUUUAUUGUAUCUAGACAUUUUCCUAUUCAGAUGACUAAUGCUCUCUAUAAUACUUUCAACACUUUAACAGGAAUUCGAGAAAUUUCCCACGGUUCUCAAAUAAGUUGC